rnacentral:antisense_RNA from 1 species
ACUCCAAGACACUUGACUCUUCCAGGAAUGACAGAGAUGGGUGAAAACAAACAGUACCGAAGAUAGCUGAGGUUUUUUGGCUCCACUUCACCCAAGUCCUGACGCUGAGCCUGUAGAAAAGAGCCUGGGAGCCCCACGGCAGUAACCAGAGGAGAAGAGUUCUGCUGCAUGUUCCUAGUUUAACCUAUCUGAACCAGAAAUGUGAGCCAGGAUGGUAACUUUCAUUCCCUUGAUAUGAUUUCAUAUCAACUUCCAGCACCUCCAAGAAUCCCACCACAAAUACCUCGAACAGACUGAAAAACAACCAUUUGCUGCUUUACCUGCCUUUGGUAUGGAUCUCUUCUUCGUUUCUUUUUCAGCUGUUUCAGAAUCUUCAAUGGCAGCACACUGGAUAAAGCCUUUCAAGGACAUCUUUCUAGCUUUAAUCUCCCUUAGAGAGAACCUUUACCCAGCAGAUUGGUCUGUUCUCUGUCCCUGGGACAGGUCAUGUGUUUCCCACCUACUACUCUCUGAUAAGAAAUUGCCCACUCUCUCUCAAGCUAUCCAGAUAACUCCCUACACUUCAAGGAGCAGCUUAAAUUCUGCAGUUUCUUUUUUUUUUCCUACAUUUUCAAAUAAACUUUUAUUGAUUUCUCCAUCUC